rnacentral:rRNA from 1 species
UGGGGAAUCUUGCGCAAUGCGCGAAAGCGUGACGCAGCAACGCCGCGUGAGGGAAGAAGGCCUUAGGGUUGUAAACCUCUUUCAGGAGGGACGAAGGUCGGCACGUUAAUAGCGUGUCCGAUUGACGGUACCUCCACAAGAAGCCCCGGCUAACUACGUGCCAGCAGCCGCGGUAAUACGUAGGGGGCAAGCGUUGUCCGGAAUUAUUGGGCGUAAAGAGCGUGUAGGCGGUCCGGUAAGUCAGCUGUGAAAGUCAAGGGCUCAACCCUUGAAAGCCGGUUGAUACUGUCGGGCUAGAGUCCGGAAGAGGCGAGUGGAAUUCCCGGUGUAGCGGUGAAAUGCGCAGAUAUCGGGAGGAACACCAAUGGCGAAGGCAGCUCGCUGGGACGGUACUGACGCUGAGACGCGAAAGCGUGGGGAGCAAACAGGAUUAGAUACCCUGGUAGUCCACGCCGUAAACGAUGGGCACUAGGUGUUGGGGGUGUCGACUCCCCCGGCGCCGUAGCUAACGCA